rnacentral:rRNA from 1 species
AUUGAACGCUGGCGGCAUGCCUUACACAUGCAAGUCGAACGGCAGCACGGGAGCAAUCCUGGUGGCGAGUGGCGAACGGGUGAGUAAUAUAUCGGAACGUGCCCAGUCUGGGGGAUAACGUAGCGAAAGCUACGCUAAUACCGCAUACGAUCUAUGGAUGAAAGCGGGGGAUCGCAAGACCUCGCGCGAUUGGAGCGGCCGAUAUCAGAUUAGGUAGUUGGUGAGGUAAAGGCUCGCCAAGCCGACGAUCUGUAGCUGGUCUGAGAGGACGACCAGCCACACUGGGACUGAGACACGGCCCAGACUCCUACGGGAGGCAGCAGUGGGGAAUUUUUGGACAAUGGGCGCAAGCCUGAUCCAGCAAUGCCGCGUGCAGGAUGAAGGCC